CCCGAUACGCAGAGUGACAAAUCUCCAGGGGUUUUUGUUCUUCAAACGUGUCUCUUCGGUUUCAAAAUGACGUUAAUGCCCCUGAUCUAGCUUGACUGGAGAUUUUCUUCUGUCAAUCAAUCGUUUCACGUGCCAGGGGAAUACCCCGUGGGUGUUGGAUUCCACAGUAAUAGAACUCGGCAGCACAUUGAUCAAAUUAAGAGUAAUUCGGAGAGAUGAAUUUGAGGUAAGGCGAUCCUCUCGCUCCCCAGGACGGAUGUCUGAUAUUGUUGCAAGCUCCAGAGGGUG